GCUCCCGUAUUUCAAUGGAUAGAAUUCUGGCCUCCGAAGCCGGCGAUCUGGGUUCGACUCCCGGCGGGAGCGCCA
rnacentral:tRNA from 1 species